AUUUGUUUCAUGAUUAAUUUUACAUGUAAUAUACUUUUAAAUGUAGAGUACAUUUCUCUCUGUGAAAUUUGUUUUCUUACAAAGUUGGUGAUUUUCAGAUGGGUGCUUCAUAUCUGAGAAAGCUCACUCACCACAAUGUCUACUGCUGCCUGCUUCCCAUGAUCCUCAAGGGGGUAGAGAUAUGCCAUCCAGCAUGUUGUCCUAUGGAUAUGGGGAUAUCUGCUCUUCCUCAGAAUCAGUUACUGCAGCUACUUGGAGUCAACCAUGGCCUGGAAGCAGAUGAUCUCUUAAUAUGUUGUAUCCUAACAAUACAUCACAACACCCAUGUCAUUCACCUUACUUCAUCUCAUCACUUUGGUGUUUUAUCUCACACCAUCACAAGAAAGGUGAGUAUAGUAGUAAAAUAAGGUAUUUUGAGGGAGACCACAUUCACAUAUUUUUUUUUGUUAUAGUAUAUUUUUUGUUAGAGUAUAUUUAUUACAACAUAUUGUUAUAAUUGUUCCAUUUUGUUUUUAGCUAUUGUUACUUUCUUAUUGUGCCUAACUUAAAAGUUAAACUUUGUCAGAUGUAUUUAUGUAUGGGAAAAGAAAUGUAUAUAGCAUUUG
rnacentral:lncRNA from 1 species